rnacentral:rRNA from 1 species
AACAGGAUUAGAUACCCUGGUAGUCCAUGCCGUAAACGUUGGGCACUAGGUGUGGGGGACAUUCCACGUUUUCCGCGCCGUAGCUAACGCAUUAAGUGCCCCGCCUGGGGAGUACGGCCGCAAGGCUAAAACUCAAAGGAAUUGACGGGGGCCCGCACAAGCGGCGGAGCAUGCGGAUUAAUUCGAUGCAACGCGAAGAACCUUACCAAGGCUUGACAUUCACCGGACCGCCCCAGAGAUGGGGUUUCCCUUCGGGGCUGGUGGACAGGUGGUGCAUGGUUGUCGUCAGCUCGUGUCGUGAGAUGUUGGGUUAAGUCCCGCAACGAGCGCAACCCUCGUUCUAUGUUGCCAGCACGUGAUGGUGGGGACUCAUAGGAGACUGCCGGGGUCAACUCGGAGGAAGGUGGGGAUGACGUCAAAUCAUCAUGCCCCUUAUGUCUUGGGCUUCACGCAUGCUACAAUGGCCGGUACAAAGGGUUGCGAUACUGUGAGGUGGAGCUAGUCCCAAAAAGCCGGUCUCAGUUCGGAUUGAGGUCUGCAACUCGACCUCAUGAAGUCGGAGUCGCUAGUAAUCGCAGAUCAGCAACGCUGCGGUGAAUACGUUCCCGGGCCUUGUACACACCGCCCGUCAAGUCACGAAAGUUGGUAACACCCGAAGCCGGUGGCCUAACCCCUUGUGGGAGGGAGCCGUCGAAGGUGGGACUGGCGAUUGGGACUAAGUCGUAACAAGGUAACC